UNNCAAUGAUUUCCCUAGUAACGGCGAGUGAAGAGGAAAGAGCUCAAAGUUGGAACCUGUUUGGCUUAGCUAAACCGGAUUGUAAACUGUAGAAGUGUUUUCCUGACACGCCUGGUAAAAAAGUCCUUUGGAACAGGGCAUCAUAGAGGGUGAGAAUCCCGUGUUUGGCCAGAGCUGUUGUCUUUUGUGAUACAUUUUCAAAGAGUCAGGUUGUUUGGGAAUGCAGCCUAAAUUGGGUGGUAAAUCUCACCUAAAGCUAAAUAUUUGCGAGAGACCGAUAGCGAACAAGUACCGUGAGGGAAAGAUGAAAAGAACUUUGAAAAGAGAGUUAAACAGUAUGUGAAAUUGUUAAAAGGGAACCGUUUGGAGCCAGACUGGCUUGACUGUAAUCAAUCUAGGCUUCGGCCUGGAUGCACUUGCGGUUUAUGCCUGCCAACGACAAUUUUUUUUGAGGGAAAAAACUAUUAGGAAUGUGGCCCCUCUCGGGGGGUGUUAUAGCCUUUUAGAAAAUACCUUGAAUUGGAUUGAGGAACGCAGUGAAUGCCUUUAGGCAAGAUUGCUGGGUGCUUUCGUUAAUAAAUGCUAGAAUUUCUGCUUCGGGUGGUGUUAGUGUUUAAAGAUGGAACUCGCCUAGUAUAUUUUUUAUUCGCUUAGGUUGUUGGCUUAAUGACUCUAAAUGAC
rnacentral:rRNA from 1 species